UGGUGGAGUGAUUUGUCUGCUUAAUUGCGAUAACGAACGAGACCUUAACCUGCUAAAUAGUUACGUGAAUUUCGAUUCAUGGCCAACUUCUUAGAGGGACUUUUGCGUGUUAAACCAAAGGAAGUUUGAGGCAAUAACA
rnacentral:rRNA from 1 species